rnacentral:rRNA from 1 species
GAGUUUGAUCCUGGCUCAGAACGAACGCUGGCGGCGUGCUUAACACAUGCAAGUCGAACGUGAUCCAGAGCUUGCUCUGGUGAAAGUGGCGCACGGGUGAGUAACGCGUGGAUAACCUGCCCUGGUAUCUGGGAUAACAUCUCGAAAGGGGUGCUAAUACCGGAUAAGCCUACGGGGUCCUCGGACUCUGCAGGAAAAGGUGGCCUCUAUUUAUAAGCUACCGUAUCAGGAUGGGUCCGCGUACCAUUAGCUAGUUGGUGGGGUAAUGGCCCACCAAGGCGACGAUGGUUAGCUGGUYUGAGAGGAUGAUCAGCCACACUGGAACUGAGACACGGUCCAGACUCCUACGGGAGGCAGCAGUGGGGAAUUUUGCGCAAUGGGGGAAACCCUGACGCAGCAACGCCGCGUGAGUGAUGAAGGCUUUCGGGUCGUAAAGCUCUGUCAGAGGGGAAGAAAUGAGUCUGGCUAAUAUCCAGAUUUCUUGACGGUACCCUCAAAGGAAGCACCGGCUAACUCCGUGCCAGCAGCCGCGGUAAUAC